rnacentral:tRNA from 6 species
GCGAGUGUGCUGGAAUAGGCAGACAGGCAAGCUUGAGGUGCUUGUGUUCGAUUGGACGUGUGGGUUCAAGUCCCAUCACUCGCACCA